ACGUAGGGUGCGAGCGUUGUCCGGAAUUACUGGGCGCAAAGAGCUCGUAGGCGGUUUGUCACGUCGUCUGUGAAAUCCCUCGGCUUAACCGGGGGCGUGCAGGCGAUACGGGCAGACUUGAGUACUACAGGGGAGACUGGAAUUCCUGGUGUAGCGGUGAAAUGCGCAGAUAUCAGGAGGAACACCGGUGGCGAAGGCGGGUCUCUGAGUAGUAACUGACGCUGAGGAGCGAAAGCAUGGGUAGCGAACAGGAUUAGAUACCCUGGUAGUCCAUGCCGUAAACGGUGGGCGCUAGGUGCGGGGUCCUUCCACGGACUCCGCGCCGUAGCUAACGCAUUAAGCGCCCCGCCUGGGGAGUACGGCCGCAAGGCUAAAACUCAAAGGAAUUGACGGGGGCCCGCACAAGCGGCGGAGCAUGUGGAUUAAUUCGAUGCAACGCGAAGAACCUUACCUAGGCUUGACAUAUACAGGACGACGGCAGAGAUGUCGUUUCCCUUGUGGCUUGUAUACAGGUGGUGCAUGGUUGUCGUCAGCUCGUGUCGUGAG
rnacentral:rRNA from 1 species